rnacentral:rRNA from 1 species
CCUACGGGUGGCAGCAGUGAGGAAUAUUGGUCAAUGGACGCAAGCCUGAACCAGCCAUGCCGCGUGCAGGAUGACGGCUCUAUGAGUUGUAAACUGCUUUUGUACGAGGGUAAACGCAGACACGCGUAUCUGUCUGAAAGUAUCGUACGAAUAAGGAUCGGCUAACUCCGUUCCAGCAGCCGCGGUAAUACGGAGGAUUCAAGCGUUGUCCGGAUUUCUUGGGUUUAAAGGGUGCGUAGGCUGUCGGAUAAGUUAGGGGUGAAAUCACGAGGCUCAACUUCGGAAUUGCCUCUGAUACUGGUCGGCUAGAGAGUAGUUGCGGUAGGCGGAAUGUAUGGUGUAGCGGUGAAAUGCUUAGAUAUCAUACAGAACACCGAUUGCGAAGGCAGCUUACCAAGCUACUACUGACGUUGAGGCACGAAAGCGUGGGGAGCAAACAGGAUUAGAUACCCUAGUAGUC